GUUGAGGAUACAGCUCAGUUGUAGAGUGCUCACCUAGCAUGUGCAAGGCCCUGGGUUCAAUUCCCAGCCCAAAGUUAUAAACUUAUUCUGGCAAUGCUCAAAACAUUUCUUUUUGGUGUUGCUAGGAGCCAGGCCUGGUGGCACAUACCUAUAAUCCUAGCUAUUUGGGAGGCUGAGGUAGGAGGAAUACAAGUUUGAGGCCAGCCUGGACCAGUUAGCAAAAUCCUGUCUCAAAACAAAAAUUAAAAAGGCUGAGUGUGUAGCUCAGAGGAACAGCAACCCUGGGUUCAAUCCCUAGGACGCCCCCUCCAAACACACACACACACACACACACACACACACACACACUACUGAGUGUAGUUGAGAGGCAGAUGAUCAAUAUGGCUAGCACUAUUACAGGUGUGUCCCACCAAGCCUGGCUAUCCUCAGUUCUUUAAAAAGAUGUGAUGAACACAUCUUUAUUUAUUUAUUUUUAUGUGGUGCUAAGGAUGGAACCCAGUGCCUCAUAUAUGCAAGGCAAGUACUCUACCACUGAGCCACAACCCCAGAACCCUCCUCAGUUCUUAAGAGAGGUAAAGAGCAUAAGUUUUAAGAGUCACAAAGAUAUGGAUUUGGAUGCAGGUACCAGCUUUAAAACUGAAUGGUUCAUUCCAUGAUGGUAAGUAGCCAAAUCUCUCUGAGCUUCCCUUUCCUCAUCUGUAAAAUGGGAGGAUUAAAGAAGAAAACAAUGGGCAAGCACAACACCGCCACAUAUGAGGUAAUCGAUAAUGGCUAUAAUUAUUAUCAAGCUAGACUGGGAGACAUGGAAGCAGGAAUUGUAUCUUAAUGUAACUGUAUCUUAAUUUAACAGUUAAUAAUUAUUGUGCACCCAUUAUAU
rnacentral:lncRNA from 1 species